rnacentral:misc_RNA from 1 species
GAAAAAUCAAACUUAUUACAACAACAGGAAUAAAUUCAUAUCUUGGACAAUUGAAUGGCGGUUUAAUUCAACAGACGUUGUCUUGAUUGACCACGGAGUGCAUGAAAACACAAGCCUCAUCUCUGUGCUCGAGACUCAUUUGAAACCUGGCCCGUGGAAUCAUCCACUGAAGCAAUUUUGUGAAGAGCCUUUGGACAGUCUUAAACUUUU